AUCAAUAUUAACAAGAGCGCUCGUAAAAAGAGCGUUUGCAUACCGUUUGUUACGGUUUCAAAAAUCGUUUUAAGCAAGUAAAGUGAAAUUUAUUAUUUUUAUACGCUCGAUUCGAGUGGUCCUUUAUCUAAAAUCUAAAUCUUUUCUAUAAAUCUAUAAUAUUACACAUAUCUAUUAAGGUAACAUUAUGUAUUUAUAAUAUUGGUAACAAAUGAAAACUAGAUGUGUGUGCGCAUGUUUUGUUUUGAUCUAACACGAUUAUAAAUAUGUGUAGAGUGGUUGUCGUUUGAAAUCAUCAUUUUCAUGGAUCAAGUGUUAUCGAACAUGAUCAAACGUGUAUUUCUAUAUCGAUAUCGUCCAAGCCUUUUCGAACGUUGAAACAUUCGUGGUUUUCAAGGUGAGACGAACCUUGUAUAGUAAAAGCACCGAGGUGUGCGAAAGGUGAUCAAUAACCGUCAAUAUGCAGGACGACGUUUUAAUAAGAGUGUAAGCCUGAGAUCUUGGGGCCCAGUUUAUGACUCCGCGACACAGGACGUCACUUCGACGCUCUUACUGCUUGCUCUUUAUUACCACUUGUCUCUAUCUCUUUCCACCCUCCCUCGCCUUCGUACACUAUUCUCUUGUAUAUGUUUCUUCCUUUUCUCCGUCCUAUCUCCUAUCUCUAUCUUUGUCUCCCUUGCUACGUUCUCACGCGAAUUUAUUAUUUAUAAAGCUAAAGCAGCAUAUAUCUCCUCGGGUGUAUUCUAACUUGCCCGUCUGACUUUCAGCUUUGCAACAAAACUCUUACGAAGUCUUAGUCGACUCGUUUCACGAUUCUUGAUCAUUUUUUCGCCAAAAGAUGUCCACUCUCUCUUUCUUAUCCUGUUUUCAAUUUCACGAGUGCAUGCAAUGUCUCAAGGUAGAUGUCACUCUGAGAGGUUUGGAAAUCGUAUUUGCGCGCUUCGAAUGCGCAACAUAUCGUAACGGACAGAUGUAUCCCAGUGAAGAGUCGUUUUAUCUUUGAAAGCUUGGGUCGAAAUUCAUUUAACGGAACCACAGAUUUGAUCGAUCAUGUUAAAUGUAUUUCUCGUUCCGCGAUGCUGAUUAGAUUAUUGUAAAAGCUUUGGAUUAUCUGAAGUGGCAACAUAUGUCGGACAUUUCCGGGAGUUCGAGUGGCUUGCACGCGGCCUGCUAUAUGGAUGUUAAUUUUUAUCGGCAACUUCGAUAGACCGGCCGGCUCGAGUAACUCGCGUAACGAGAGAAGUUAAACGGGAGUACAACGACGCGUUCUUGUAAACGUAUGCAUUCAGCAGGAAGUGGAGGCCGCUAGGAUGCGCCUGUGUCGACUACGCCAAGUAAACCCAAAGUCCCGGCUUUCUGUUCCGGCGCGUGAGACGGAUGAGGGGUAACAAAGCGGAGGAGAGUUUUGGCACGAGCCAGAUGUCGAGCGGAUCCGUAACGAAAGCGAGAAAAGAAAGGAAGGAAAAGAAAAUAGGAGGAAAAUCGCGAGGAGCAGAGAAUCGAGAUGCAAAGGGGCUGGCAACGUGAGCUGAUAACGAGCAACGAGAAGUGACAGGGAAGGUGGUUCGUUAGCGUUGCACGUCGGUGACAGAGCAGUCGAUCCGUUCGUUGGUUGUCUUCUUGCGCGCGGUUGCUGAAAUAGUAUUGUUACGCUGUUCAUUGAGCA